AGGAACAGGAAGUAGAAGAGAUGCGGUGGAGAGCAUCGUCAAUCACGUCUGAGGGGAAAUUACGGUCUUUGAAGAAAGAGGCCAUCUGGAUUGCUCGGUAUUGGAAUUGGUCCUCCUGGGAGCAGAUGAGAUGCUGCCAGACCCUGCUGAGCUUUUCCAUCAGCAUUUAAAAUGUGCGCUGGGCCAGGAUAAGCACAUCAACUGACCUCGGGCCUGGAUGAGCACCUUUACUGUCCCGAGGCAGACGUUAUCUGGACGCACAAACUGAUGUAGAAGCUUGUGUUCCUCUGUGAAGAAGGGAAAAAAAAGAUCAUUUAUAUAAAUAACAAACAAAAACGGAGGAUGAUCCAGAGAAUACACAUGCAUCGAAUUCAGAGAGUGACGGUCAUGUGCUCAUCAUAAGAGACCCCAUUCCAGUCACUUUCCAAAGCUGUGUCUUCAGCAAGGCGAGAGCAGGCUUGGACUCACAAGCAUGCACCACAGCAGCGGCAACAGGAAAGUGCGAGCCCUGCAGCGUAGUAGAGAGAAUGAGCUCAGCUAUCCAAGAUGGCAGAACCAGCAUGGUUGGCACUUCUGCUAUAAAUCAGAUACAGGAAGAGAAAUUGCUGGAAAAGCUCAGCAGGUCUGGCGGCAUUUGUAGAGAGAAAUCAGAGUUAACACUUCCUGAUUUACAGCAUUCGCAGUUCUUUCUGUUUUUACUUAGUGCGCGUCUAAUAAAUUACCAAGUUGGAGUGGUUCUGAAAUCUGUCCUAAAAAUCCAACUGUUUGAGGAAGACGACCCUGCCAUCCAAUCUAUUUGUCUAUGGGAAUAGAUAUAAACAGAGGAGAACCUGAUGAAGGAAGAGGCAAUUUAUUUUGACCAGAAUCUCUCAAUCCCUCACCAGCAAGGAGGAUCAGGGGAGCAGGUGUAUUUGAAUAUCUUCAAGUUUAUUCUCAAUCUCACAUUGUCCUGAUUUGUUCGAUAUCCAGGAUUAGAAGAAAAGUUCCUCCAUCAAAUACUGGGAAGACUGAAGUCUUCAGACACCACAACAAACUGCAAGGUUUUUUUUUCCAUCUCUUGGUAACUGCCUCAAGCCAGACGUUUCAGAACCAAGGCAAAAUAUUACACCCACAUAUCCCACCUAUCAUCGCAAGACCAUCUGGUCCCACCUCCCUAACGAGAAUAGAAGGUGUUAGAACUAUUCAGCAGGUCAGAUGGUGCCUGUGGAAGGAGAGUAAAACUUUUAGCUCACAACGACUUCCAUCAGAGCUCAGGGAAAGUGAAUAAAUCGCAGGGUUUGAGGAAGGGAACAGGACUUGGGGAUCAGAAAAAGUGGCUGUAGGAUAGAGUGGAUCCACCUCAUUAACAUCAGUAACUUUUACCUCAACCUCAGUUCAACUGUUUCUGAAUCUCUCAUCCUUCUUCCUGCAGGGCCCCUAGUCUGUUCAACACUGACACCCUUUUGUCUAACCUCUGACAUUCUACCACCACAAGCGGGUGAUAAUCCAAACCCAAAAGUUGUUAGUCACAAGAUACCCCUUUUCACCAAUGAUCAUUUUGUCCACUGAUCUACAAAGAUCUCCUGCUCAAGCACCAUUUCAAUUUUAAAAUUUGCACUCUUGCAAUCCCAGAAGCAACAGACAAACCUGAUGACUUCCACAUUCAAAGGUCAAUGAUAUGAUAUAGUGGCUCAGUGAUUAGCACUGCUGCCUCACAGCACCAGGAACCUGGGUUCAAUUCCAGCCUCUUCCCCCCCACCACCCUAUGUGUGGGUUUCCUCCGGGUGCUACGGUUUCCUCCCACAAUCUAAAGAUGUAUAGGUCCGGUGAAUUGUCCAUGCUAAGUUGCUCGUAGUGUUAGGUGCAUUAGUGAGGGGUAAAUGUAGAACAGAGAAAUGGGACUGGUGUGGGUUACUCUUCAGAGGGUCGGUGUGGACCAAAGGGUAUGUUCCCAUACCGGAGGGAAUCUACUAUGAUAUCCAGGACCCAGUGAAUGCACUGAGGUUGGACAGUCUUGAGCUCAUGUUUAGGUUGAGCUCCCCAUCUACAGAUACUUCUUGUUUAAUAUCACGUCACAGGAAGUUCCAAAACAUAAUUUAUAGAAGUUCACAACAUUGCUUCUUCGUGCUGAGGAUGAGUCACAGAGAUCUGGCAGCACAGAGAAAGGCCCUUCAGCCCAUUACCUCCAUGCCGAUCAAACAGAACCACCUAACUGUUCCAAUCCAUUUCCCAACACUUGGCUAUAACCUUAUACAGAGAAACCUCGAUUAUCCGAAUGAGAUGUGUGAGCACUAUUUUGUUUGGGUAAUUGAUUUUACCUUAAACAUGGGAAGCCAUGCUGUUCUAAUACUGUGCUCUCCCAGAGAAUUUCUAUGAGUCUGCCAUUGCAACAAACUAAUUCUUUCAGUCUGCAAAUCUCAGGUUAAACUGAGAAGGACUAAAUCCUUACCGUCACGUAAAUACUGUAUGUGAAAUCCCAGCAUUAAACAAGGUCCCAGGGAGCUUCUGCGAUCGCAAGAGCAUUUCUCAGUUUCCGGGAACUCAGUGUCACGAUCGGAAGACAGAAGCACAGCCUCAGGCGUGCAUUUACGUUCUCAGCCUUGUUUUUAAUGACCAGUAAAGUGAUGGCAAUACCCUGC